rnacentral:rRNA from 1 species
GACGUAGGGUCCAAGCGUUGUCCGGAUUUACUGGGCGUAAAGCGCACGUAGGCGGCUUGUUAGGUCAGGGGUGAAAUCCUGGAGCUCAACUCCAGAACUGCCUUUGAUACUGAAGAUCUUGAGUCCGGGAGAGGUGAGUGGAACUGCGAGUGUAGAGGUGAAAUUCGUAGAUAUUCGCAAGAACACCAGUGGCGAAGGCGGCUCACUGGCCCGGUACUGACGCUGAGGUGCGAAAGCGUGGGGAGCAAACAGG